CAGUAGCCACGGUAAUGCGGAGGGUGCGAGCGUUAAUCGGAAUUACUGGGCGUAAAGCGUACGCAGGCGGUUUGUUAAGUCAGAUGUGAAAUCCCCGGGCUUAACCCGGGAACUGCAUUUGAAACUGGCAGGCUAGAGUCUCGUAGAGGGGGGUAGAAUUCCAGGUGUAGCGGUGAAAUGCGUAGAGAUCUGGAGGAAUACCGGUGGCGAAGGCGGCCCCCUGGACGAAGACUGACGCUCAGGUACGAAAGCGUGGGGAGCAAACAGGAUUAGAGACCCGCGUAGUCCCUGUCUCUUAUAC
rnacentral:rRNA from 1 species